rnacentral:rRNA from 1 species
UACGGAGGGUGCGAGCGUUGUUCGGAAUCACUGGGCGUAAAGGGCGUGUAGGCGGUCCGCUAAGUCUGAUGUGAAAGCCCGGGGCUCACCCCCGGAAGGGCAUUGGAAACUGACGGACUCGAGUCCCGAAGAGGAGGGUGGAAUUCCUGGUGUAGCGGUGAAAUGCGUAGAUAUCGGGAGGAACACCUGUGGCGAAAGCGGCGCACUGGACCACAACUGACGCUGAGGCGCGAAAGCUAGGGGAGCAAACAGG